UCUCUUUUGUCUCUUAGUUCUAACUACUGGAUGGAGCUACACAAACACACAACUAUCAGUGAAUACUUAACACUUGUAACUGCAGCAAAAUACUACCCUGUAUUUAUUUGAGUUUCCCUGAGUUGGCCAACAACAGAUACUUCUUCAGAUACAAGGAAUCACAUAUCAAAGUGAUUUUCCCUACCUCCUCCAGUACAAAAAAUCCACAGCAGCUGAUGUAAAUAUGGCGUGUUUGGACGGGCAAAGACAUGAGGAGGAAAAGACACAACGGAAGACAAUGGGACUGCACAGCCGAUCAGUCAGUGUGUUUGUCAGGUGAAAGAGACGACUCAGGCUAUCAAAAGAAGCCCUCUGUGACACUACCACUAGCAGAGAACAGUGGAUGGAAGUAG
rnacentral:lncRNA from 1 species